AUGUACAUCCCUACAACACAACGUUAAUGCACCAGAUCCCAUUAGAUCACCAUAGUUAAGCGCGCUCAGGAUACAGUAGCAAUGGGAUGGGUGACCGCCUGGGAAGUCCUAGUGUUUUACAUG
rfam:Picea glauca, whole genome shotgun sequence.